UCUCCUCUCUCUCUUCAGUCCUCUCCCAGCCUCCCACACUUUGCAUCUGCUUCUUCCCUUCUCCUUGAACUCAUCGGAACCACCAGUCCAUCAUACAAUGAUCAUUCUUUCAACAAGUUAAGCCUCAACACCGUGAAGAAGGGGAAGGGGAAAUUUGGAAGAAGAUCUGGGGGAUCAAGGGGAGUCUCAACCGUUUGCCGCCGGCUUGCGUUGGCAACAUGGUGAUGGCUACCAUGAAGAAGAGGAAGUCGGAUCUGAGGAAGAAGGUGCUGCCUCCCUUUUUAACAUUAUUGACUGAAUAUAUGUACACCGUGAAUGGGUUUUAUCCUUUCCCUUGCUUUUUAAUCUCCUUGUUUUGGUUCUUAGUGAUGAAGUGGGUGGAUUCAACUUGAAGGUAUCAAGGAUGGCAGUCAUGAUGCACGCCAAGUUAAACUGGAAGAACCUCAGCCAGAUCGACCUCAUCAAAGACUCUGAAUCUGGUUUCAGUGUUUGAAUCAAUCAUAUAUAGGUCUAUGCAUGCAUAUCAUCUCUAAUCGAAGAUCUCAAACUUCUUCACUGAGUAGGAGGCUGAAACAAUGACAGUGACUAAACCCAAGAAAAUCAUCGUUGACUCCGAUCAUCACUGAACCCAUCCAACUCCAGAAAGAUGAAAUCAAAUGAAUAAGAUCUGGAUGUAAGCCACCCAUCCCCAGAAAGACUCGAUAUUGGACCAGAAGCAAUUAUAAUUAUAAAAAAAAAAAUUAAAAAAAAGAAGAAGCAAAAGCAAUUAUAAUAAUGAU